CCUUAGGUUUCAGGGGACAUCUGGAAAGCUGCUCUCUUGGUGAAGUUUCCAGAACCUUCCGGGCCAGAUGGAUUUUCUGAACUCCAGAGAUGGGAAGUUCCAGCCCUGUAUCAGCCAGGCCUAGAUAAACUUACUGCCAAGAAAACGUCCUUUUUCAUAAAAAGUCAUGCUUCAAAAAGGGCAUCCUUCCCUGCAGCAAUAAAAGUUGGGGUUUGGAUUCUGACUUGAUGCAUGCCUAGCCAGCCCUGAUUCUUGUUGUCACCCAGCUCCUGAUGGGAUUUGGAAGGCAGAGCCACUAGCCUCCAAGAGGCAGGGACGACAGGCCAGAGCAAGCCUGGAAGCAAAGGGUCUCAGUUUUUCCGUCCAUAAAACUGGAAUGAAGAAGCUGGAUAAAGCAAUCUCAAAGCAUCACCUACUUCCCUUGCUUCUCCCUGUACCUGCUGCACAGGAGAAUCCCAAGUAACUUAUAUGGAUACUCUGCCCCCAGAAGAGGGAGCAUAACUCCUUAAGGGUGGCCUGUGAAGAAUGACCUCCCUCCAAAGAAGAAAGCAUGGAAAGAGAGCAAAGGGGAUUGCAUGGUGAAGAAUCCUGACAAGCACUCUCUCAGCCAGGUGAUCAAGGUCAACAUCGAUAGCAAUUGCUCACUUGCUCCGAGGUUAUAAAAAUAGCACUUAAACUCUGUGGUCUUCCUGUCCUAGAACCCAGAACCCCAAUCUACUCAUGAAACUAAACAUCAGACAAAUUCCAAAAGUGGGAUCUUCUACAAAAUACCUGACCAGUGCUCCUUAGAACUGUCAAGGUCAUCAUGACCAUUAUGAUAUAUCUUUUGUUUUCUGUUUGUGGUUCUUGGCUCAUAACUCCCUCUUAAGGGCAGGCCACAGAAACUAAACUUCUCUUCCCCAAGGCAGGUUUCAAAAAUCCUAAUCUUCACCUGACCAUAAAGAAAUUCUCCAGCAGGGCACGGUAACACAUGCCUGUAAUCCCAGCGGCUCAGGAGGCUGAGACAGGAGGAUUGCAAGUUCAAAGCCAGCCUCAGCAACAUCGAGGUGCUAAGUAACUCAGUGAGACCCUGUCUCUAAAUAAAAUACAAAAUAGGGCUGGAGAUGUGGCUCAGUGGUCGAGUGCCCCUGAGUUCAAUCCCUGGCGUGGAAAAAAAAGAAAAAGAAAUUCUCUGACCUACCAUACCUGAUUAAGUAAGUCAUAAGACCCUCAUUUCAGAAAGGAUCCUGCCCCAUACCCCAGAGAAAGGGAUGCCGCACAGAGAAGCCAAGAAAAUCUGAAUCGGUGGGGUUUCUCCAGUCAGUCUAUUAGCAUUACAUUACACCCUUUGUGUCCAAUCACAUUUAUUUAUUUAUUUAUUUCUCUCUGUGUGUGCUUGUGGUACUGGGAAUUGAACCCAGGAUACUUUACCACUCACUAUAUCCGGGCCCUUUUCAUAUUUAUCUUAAGACAGGGUCUUACUAUGUUGCCUAGACAGGCCUCAAACUUGAGAUUCUCCUGCUUCAGCCUCCUGAAUAGCUAGGAUUAUAAACAAGGGCCACCAUGCCCAGUUCCAAUCACAUCUCUACAGGGUUGUCCGUGUUUUGAUCAUGGUUAUGCGAUGAAGACUACAUAAAACCCCCCAAAGAUAGGGUUCAGAUAAUUUCCAGAGAGCGGAAGGAUCCUGGAGGGUGGGUGUGCCCAGAGAGUAGAGAACCUCCACACCCCUUCCCCCAUUCCUUACCCUAUGCAUCUCUUCAUCUGUGUUCUUUGUAAUAAACUGGUAAAUGUGUUUCUCUAA